rnacentral:rRNA from 1 species
AGUGAACGCUGACGGUAGGCCUAACACAUGCAAGUCGAACGGCAGCACAGUAAGAGCUUGCUCUUACGGGUGGCGAGUGGCGGACGGGUGAGGAAUACAUCGGAAUCUACUUUUUCGGGGGGGAUAACGGAGGGAAACUUACGCUAAUACCGCAUACGACCUACGGGUGAAAGCGGGGGAUCUUCGGACCUUGCGCGAUUGAAUUAGCCGAUGUCGGAUUAGCUAGUUGGCGUGGUAACGGCCCACCAAGGCGACGAUCCGUAGCGGGUCUGAGAGGAUGAUCGGCCACACUGGAACUGAGACACGGUCCAGACUCCUACGGGAGGCAGCAGUGGGGAAUAUUCGACAAUGGGCGCAAGCCUGAUCCAGCCAUACCGCGUGGGUGAAGAAGGCCUUCGGGUUGUAAAGCCCUUUUGUUGGGAAAGAAAAGCAGCAGAUUAAUCCCCCGCUGUUCUGACGGUACCCAAAGAAUAAGCACCGGCUAACUUCGUG